rnacentral:tRNA from 1 species
GGAGUUGUGGCUCAGUGGUAGAGUGCUUGCCUGGCAUGUAUAAGGCACUGGGUUCGAGUCUUAGCACCA